GGAUGUGAGGGUGAUCUGGUCGCAACAUCUGUCACCCCAUUGAUCGCCAGGGUUGAUUCGGCUGAUCUGGCUGGCUAGGUGGGUGUCCCCUUCCUCCCUCACCGCUCCAUGUGCGUCCCUCCCGAAGCUGCGCGCUCGGUGGAAGAGGAUGACGUCCCAGUUAUAGAAGGAGUGUACCGAGGUCUCCAGUCUUCGGUCCCGGGUAUACGAUAGGUGCACUCCCCUGCUAGAACCUCCAAACAAACACUCCCAAUAGAUGGCCACCCAGUCUCUACUUAAAAACCUCCUGAGAAGGAAGCACAUUUCCCUGUCA
rnacentral:snRNA from 1 species